CAAAUACUCCCUCCAUCCGGAAAUACUUGUCAGAGAAAUGGAUAAAAGUAGAUGUAUCUAGAACUAAAAUAAAUCUAGAUACAUCCAUUUCUGAGACAAGUAUUUUCGGACGGAGGGAGUAGUAG
rfam:Triticum aestivum genome assembly, contig: Triticum_aestivum_CS42_TGACv1_scaffold_500719_6BL